rnacentral:tRNA from 1 species
GCAGAAGUGGCGGAAUUGGUAGACGCGCACGGUUCAGGUCCGUGUGGGAGCAAUCCCUUGUGAGUUCGAGUCUCAUUUCCUGCA